rnacentral:SRP_RNA from 1 species
GCUGGGCAUGGUGGCGGGUGCCUGUAAUCCCAGUUACUUGGAGGCUGAGGUAGCAGAAUCACUUGGACCCGGGAGGUGGAGGUUGCAGUGAGCCAAGAUUGCGCCACUGCACUCCAGCCUGGGUGAUAGAGUGAGAAUCUGUCUCAA